rnacentral:rRNA from 1 species
GAUCGCUCAGGAUGAACGCUAGCGGCAGGCUUAACACAUGCAAGUCGAGGGGCAGCGCGGGGCGGCAACGUCCUGGCGGCGACCGGCGGAAGGGUGCGUAACGCGUGAGCGACAUGCCCGUUGCCCGGGGACAACCGGUGGAAACGCCGACUAAUCCCCGAUGGGACGGAGGCCCUCAUGAGUCUCUGUUGAAAGUUACGGCGGCGACGGAUUGGCUCGCGUCCGAUUAGCUUGUUGGCGGGGUAACGGCCCACCAAGG